rnacentral:rRNA from 1 species
AUACGGAGGGUGCAAGCGUUAUCCGGAAUCAUUGGGUUUAAAGGGUCCGCAGGCGGGAAAAUAAGUCAGUGGUGAAAGCCUACAGCUCAACUGUAGAACUGCCAUUGAUACUGUUUUUCUUGAGUAUAGAUGAAGUGGGCGGAAUAUAUCAUGUAGCGGUGAAAUGCAUAGAUAUGAUAUAGAACACCGAUUGCGAAGGCAGCUCACUAAACUAUUACUGACGCUCAGGGACGAAAGCGUGGGGAGCGAACAGGAUUAGAUACCCGAGUAGUCC